rnacentral:rRNA from 1 species
AACGAACGCUGGCGGCAUGCCUAACACAUGCAAGUCGAACGAGACCUUCGGGUCUAGUGGCGCACGGUUGCGUAACGCGUGGUAACCUGCCCUUAGGUUCGGAAUAACUCCCCGAAAGGGGUGCUAAUACCGGGUAAUGUCUUCGGACCAAAGAUUUAUCGCCUCGGGAUGGGCCCGCGUUGGAUUCGCUAGUUGGUAGGGUAAAAGCCUACCAAGGCGACGAUCCAUAGCUGGUCUGAGAGGAUGAUCAGCCACACUGGGAGUGAGACACGGCCCAGACUCCUACGGGAGGCAGCAAUGGGGAAUAUUGGACGAUGGGCGAAAGCCUGAUCCAGCAAUGCCGCGUGAGUGAUGAAGGCCUUAGGGUUGUAAAGCUCUUUUACCCGGGAUGAUAAUGACAGUACCGGGAGAAUAAGCUCCGGCUAACUCCGUG